UACGGAGGGGGCUAGCGUUGUUCGGAAUCACUGGGCGUAAAGCGCACGUAGGCGGGUCAGUAAGUCAGGGGUGAAAUCCCGAGGCUCAACCUCGGAACUGCCGAUGAGACUGCUGACCUUGAGGUCGGGAGAGGUGAGCGGAAUUCCUGGUGUAGAGGUGAAAUUCGUAGAUAUUGGGAGGAACACCAGAGGCGAAGGCGGCCACCUGGCCCGAGACUGACGCUGAGACGCGAAAGCGUGGGGAGCAAACAGG
rnacentral:rRNA from 1 species